rnacentral:misc_RNA from 1 species
GAUGAAGAACGUAGCGAAAUGCGAUAAGUAAUGUGAAUUGCAGAAUUCAGUGAAUCAUCGAAUCUUUGAACGCACAUUGCGCCCAUUAGUAUUCUAGUGGGCAUGCCUGUUCGAGCGUCAUUAAGUCCACUUAAGCCCUGCUUAGUGUUGGGAGACUGCUCCAGCGGUGCUACCCUGUAGCUACCCUGCAGCUCCUCAAAGACAGCGGCGGAGUUGUGGUAUCCUCUGAGCUUAGUAACUUGUUCUAGCUUUCUAGUACACCACUUCCCCUGCCGUAAAACCCUUAAUUUUUAAUGGUUGACCUCGGAUCAGGUAGGAAUACCCGCUGAACUUAAGCAUAUCAAUAAGCGGAGGA